rnacentral:SRP_RNA from 1 species
CCGUGCUAGGUGGGGCGUUAGCGGUGUCCUGAUUGCCGACUUGUCGGCAUGACCCGCAAUCCGCUAUAGCGGGGCCGAACGCUCCGCCGAGGGUUUCUGCGGCAGACAAGCUUGCUUUACCGGCGGUGUUGAAGGCUGGGUCCUCUGCAACGCUGCGACGUGAACCUGGUCAGAUCCGGAAGGAAGCAGCCAUAAGCGUGCCAGCAGCGUGUGCCGGAGGGUCGCCUGGCUGGAGCUGUCCGGUUUUAGCGGGCCCUGUUUCGGUGAUUCGAAGCGGAGCGCACGG